CAGCCAGGCAUUUCGAGUGCUCCAAAGGGCUAUUGUUGUGGUGAAUGCCGUAACAAUAGGAUUUCAUAUAGACAGAAAUUCAACAACAUGGGAAGAUCCAGUCUCCAGCAUGAAGUGGGACGACUAUAAUCCUAUACAAAUGGACUCUGGCAGCAGUAAAAGCCCACAACUGGUGUUUUGCUGGGUUCCAACAGAUGCAGAAUUUAUGUGAAGUUUGUACCUUCAAGCACAUGGAAGUAAAUCAAGCCCAGAUAUUGAGAUCUC